UACAAUUUUAGCGAUAACAUUUUGUGGACUUUUCAGCGACUCACAGGAGAUUUUUGUCCAAACUAAUUUUCUUACCGUCAAGACACUUUCAAGCCUUGGAAGAGGGCCCCUCUUAUGUGUUUCUUCCCAAGGAUUUCUCCAGUUAUACCAGAAAAGGUUUUUGGAGUUUUAUCCUUGCUCACAAGAGGUUUGUGUCCAAGCAAACUCAUCAUCUAAC